AAGUCGUAACAAGGUCUCCGUAGGUGAACCUGCGGAGGGAUCAUCAUAGAAAAACAAAAACUUAUGAGAGUGGGUGGGUGAGUGGGUGGGUGGGGGAGAAAGGAAAGCAUAAUACUCUGCAUUCCUUUCUUCUGCUUCUGCCUGCUUGUUGCCUUCUCUUAUCAAACAAACGAUCGCAACUAUAUAGAGGAGAAUGUGUGGGUUGGUUGGUUGGAUAUGGAUUGGAUUGGAUUGGAUGAAAGAAAAAGUGUUUGCCUGAUAUUGGAAAUGCCAUUGAUUUGAUUGAUGGUUGGAGAAAUGAGAAUAUACAACUUUCAACAACGGAUCUCUUGGCUCUCA
rnacentral:misc_RNA from 1 species